UGUGUGUGUGUGUGUGUGUGUGUGUGUGUGUGUGUGUGGUGACCAUCAGGCCUGCCAACAGGUCAAAGAAUGUCUGUGUCUGUGUCUGUGUGUGUGUGUGUGUGUGUGUGGCGACCAUCAGGCCUGACAACAGGCCAAAGAAUGUCUGUGUGUGUGUGUGGCGACCAUCAGGCCUGACAACAGGCCAAAGAAUGUCUGUGUGUGUGUGUGUGUGUGUGUGUGUGGCGACCAUCAGGCCUGACAACAGGCCAAAGAAUGUCUGAAGGUCCCGGUCUUCAUGUGACUUCUGCAGCCGAGCUGAUCAAGCAUGGAUUACAACAUCAUAAUUAAAGGAUGACUAAAUGUGUUGCUUACUUGUCAUUGUAUUAUCAAAGCAUUCCAAUCAUUAUUUUGUUGUCAUUGUAUUUCAACACUUGCACAGGUACAGGGGGAGGAGUUUCAACACUUACACAGGUACAGGGGGAGGAGUUUCAACACUUACACAGGUACAGGGGGAGGAGUUUCAACACUUACACAGGUACAGGGGGAGGAGUUUCAACACUUACACAGUUCAAAUUAUGGAACACAUUACCCAUUAAUAUUAGGGAAGCAAACACGCUAGACACUUUCAAAAAGCAGCUUAAAACCUAUCUUUUUACCAAAGCAUUUUAUUAAUAUUAUUAAUUUUCUGUGGGGUUGAUACUAACUGUAACUUUCACUAUUUUUAUUAUUUCAGAAGGGUUUUAUUACUUUUAUUCCUUUUAUACCUUUUAUCCUGAUUUUAGUAAUUCAAGAAGCCUAUCGGAACAUCAGGUUCUGAUACGAUAUUAGUCAUUAUUUAACUCUAUGUAUUGCUCUUGCUGCUUGCUUUUAUUGAUUUUAUGUAAAGCACUUUGAACUGCAAUUCUUGUACGAAAUGUGCUAUAUAAAUAAAGUCUUACUUACUUACUUACAGGUACAGAGGGGGGGGGGUUCCUCCCAGCCAGGUUUAUAAAUCUGCUGUGGUCAGCCGCCUGAAGGAGAUUUUACUGAAAUGACAUGCAAUGCAUAUUAUUAAAACACCUUCAUAUCUGCAAAUCUGUUCCUGGACCUGGGAACAUGCAAAGACAUAGGAACUACAGGAAUGUUGUGUAUACUCGCCCUAUUAGGUGAAGUAUUUAGCAGACGUGACAUCCAAAGUGACAUAUAGUGCUGCUUGAAAGUAUGUGAAUCCCUUGAGCAGUUUAGAGUUUUUCUGUUGUUUUAC
ensembl:lncRNA